CGCGCUGGGGCUGGAGCGCGGACGACGCUGGCGUGUGGGACGCGAGGAGCGCGUGCUGGUCGCCGGGCACGACUCCCACGCGGCUCUUCUGCCGUGGGCGCCGGAGACCAAGAGCGACCACCCAGGCCCAGGGCUGAAUAGGAUCGCGUACGUGUACCACAUUUUUGAAAACCACUCACUCAUGGGCACGUGUGAGAAAUGCCCUCACCCAUGCAAUGCCAAAGGAUGGACACGUGGAGACACGAGGGACUGGUACAUCUUCACAUUCAUCAUGUGAUUCACCAGGAUUUCAAGGUCCAGAAUGUACUGCUGGCUGAGAAUGCAGAGGCGAAACUUGUUGAUUUCGGUGUGAGUGCUCAGCUGGACAGGAUGAUUGGGCAGAGAAAUACAUUCAUAGGCACCCCCUACUGGAUGACUCCUGAGGUCAUUGCCGGUGACGAGAACCCAGACGCCACCUAUGACUACAGAAGUGACCUUUGGUCUUGAGGCAUUAUGGCCAUUGAGAUGGCAGAAGUUGCCCCCUCUCUCUGUGACGUGCAUCCGAUGAGAGCACUGUUUCUCAUUCCCAGAAAACCUUCUCCCCGGCCGAAGUCAGAAAAAUGAAGAGCACAUUAACACAGUGGUCCUCUGUCCUUGGGUGGCCACCUUCCCUCCUCCUCGUAACUCUAAUGCAUUUGUCAAGCAAAACACUGAUAUCCGUGGAAGGAGUUUUUUUCCUUGAAGAAACAGCUUUUUUCUCUGAGGAAACCUGUUAUAAUUGCAACAUUGUGGGAACAUGCUAUUUGGGUUAGUUUUAAAAUCUUUAAGAGAGAGGAUAGUGCUUUGGUGGUUUUUGCCUGAGAAUUUUACCCACUAGUUCCCUUCUGAACUUUUUUCUGGGUUCUUUCCUAUUAGUUCUCAUCUGCACUCAGGCUCCUCAAGCAUGUGGACCUAUGUAGAGGAUUCAUAAAGCAAAUGUACUUCACAGGGCCUGGUUUUCCAAAGCCUCGCAGCUUCAAAUAUUGACUUUACAAAGGACAGGAAAAUUUUCCCAGGCUGUAAAGUCUCUGUUGUAAGAUAAAGAAUUGUAACACAGCAAGGUAGCUGGCUCAAAGACAGACAGGUUACUGACUGAUAUGUAAAGAUACUGGGGAAUUGCUGUAAGAAGAGAAUGUUUGCUAAAAUCAAGUUUUUGUUAGUGGAUCGACUUAAUUGCAUGUUACCAGCUUCUAUUGUUAAACUUGUUAAAUGGUACUUAGCAAAAACCCCACCUAUGUUCUCUUCCUGUAACUUGCUGGUCUGGAGAAUAAAUGCAGGAAGAGAACCCCAAUUUGUGGUUAAUUUCCCAAAUGGAAGGAAUGGCUCUCGCUUGAGGGUUCUGGGAUAUUAACCCCUUUCUGGGGCAUCUCACUGCUCAGACGA